rnacentral:lncRNA from 1 species
UGCUAUUUCUGGACAAGGAGCCAGGCCUGAGACGGCACUUUCUGGGCUUCCCCUCGCUCUGCAGGGUCUCUCGCUGGGUUCUGAGAGCUCAACCCUCCUGUGGGACACAGCUGGGAGGCUUCAUCGAGGGGGCAUCUGCAGCAGGCAGGCUGUGGUCUGAGGCUGUGCAAAGCAGGGCCCGAGCAGCUCCGGGACAGAAUGCACGGAACUGCAAGCCCAACUCCACACCACUGCUGCCCUUUGCUUUUCUAGAAGCACCGCCUGGGCUGCUCCGGUAACAGCCAGGAGAUGACGGGAGCAGGAGGCCAGGGAGGAAGCAAAGAUCAGCUCUGUGAAACCAUGACGGCAGAGCCAGAUGCCUGCAGCCACGCACAGCCCCAGUGCCCUUGAGGAUGAAGGCUGUGGGUCCCGGCAGGAUCUGGAGGCGGAGGCUGAGCUGUCAUUGACACAGAUUCUUGAUCUGGCACUGUGCAACUUCUAGCAGUUCCUCAAAGUCCGAUGACCAUAAAUGAUACACACCUGGCAUCAGUUCGGGACACGGAGGCAGCCAUAACAGCUCAACAAAAGACACAUGAAAGAGGACUCCGAGCUGCUUCAGAAAGGGGCAGGAAUGAUGGGAUAAAUGUUAUAAGUGAGGGGGAGGGCUUUGAGGGGGACUAAUGACAAUGCGACUUUCAUUGUAACAAAAUGUUUAAAUAAUCAUAUUUUUCAAUCAUGACGUGUAGACCCAUAACGCUGCAUUCAAGUUCAGGGCCCAAGCCCAAACUGCUUAGCAGUCCAGGACCCUCGGCUUCAACACCAUUAACUAGGAGACUUUUAGACUCCUUGGCAGUCUUUGAAACAACUCCGCCUUUCCAGAGAAACCUGUAAUGUCUCCAGUUACUACUGGAGUCAUUGUGAGUCUUGAGGAGGAGGGAAAUGCCUCAAGGAAGUGGCCUUGACCUCUCUGUGGGAAGCCAUACAGCAGGAAGGGGGAAGAGGCAGGCUUUCUGUCCACAGUGCCAAGCCCACAUGGCCAGGGACACUCAGAUUAGCACCAUCUACUGUGUUGGGUCAGGGGAGCAGAACUGGGCAGUUAAGACUCAAGGAGUGUCUGUGGUUUUACUUCCUCUGCAAAAUGGUCCUGACUCUGACAUGCCCUGGCACGCAUGUGAUGGCCACACCUGGACCUCACCAACACAGCGUCCAGAGGAG